rnacentral:lncRNA from 1 species
UUGGGCGACAUGGAAAAGAGAGGAUGCCACUUAUUUCUCAUGAAAGAGAAAGAGAAUGUGGCUUCUUUGGGUAUGAAUUAUUCCAUGAUGAAAGAGAGGAGAGGGGUGUGGAGAAUCUUAAAUAGAUGGAUGGUGUUGAGUUGGUUAAGUCCUAUUCCAAAUAGGACUCAUGAAUCUUGUUCCAACUUUAAUUAAUCCUUGGAUCCAAUCCUAACUAACUUAAAAAUUAGUUAUAACAAAUUAACUAAUUAGGUCCUAGCC